rnacentral:lncRNA from 1 species
GGGACUCACGCAAGCAAACCGACCACUAAUCCACGUAUAACUUAAAAUCAAAACACAAUUUGUCAUCCGGACGUGCCAAACCUUUAAACGACUGGAAUAUUAAAUCACAUUAACUUCAGAGAUAACAUUACCAAUGAACAUCCAACCGUUCACUCUUAAAUACAUCUCCGACUAGUUCAACACAACCUACAAAUAUACAUUAUAAACCAUACAGCAAACUCAUCAAGCUCAAAUAAAUUCAUACAAGCCAAAACUUAGGGUUUGCACUUUUCCAGCUUCAAGUGACAACCCAAAACAAAGAUACAAGUACGAUUCGAAAUAAUAUUUACAUAACGAUAAGAUAGACUUCAAGUUUCUCGAUUCCCAGAACCUGUUAAGGAAAACAAAUAUCGUGUGGUGAGCUAACGCUCAGUGGUGCCCAAAACAUGCAAUCAUAUAAGGCAAGUAACGAGUAUUAAAAUUCAACAAUUAGGAAAGCGUAUAACAGCACACGGUAGGAUACAGGGCUCUCAGGAGCCAUUCUCCGCGCUUGAUCAGAAAUUACCGUAGUUGACCCUCCGUCAACUCUCACUACUAACGGUCCAUGUAGAACUCCUUAUUUUACUUAACUCCGGCCACCGAUCAUACCCCAGCUCCGGGCCCGCACGACAAAAUAAAAGAGAGCGGUAGUACUCGAGUAUACCCCCUGGAUAAACUAGUCGAGGGAUUCACCCAACGACGUCACAAAAUAAGAAAUUACCAGGUCAGGAUAAGAGGCCCUCCCACCCUUAAGGUGUAGUACAUUCCCCUGCCUAGUGAUUUAGUACUUGAGAUAGGAUAAGAGGCCCUCCCACCCUCAGGUAUGGUACAUUCCCCUACUCAGUACUUAGCACAUGAGAUAGGAUAAGAGGCCCUCCUACCCUCAGGUGUGGUACAUUCCCCUACUCAGUGCUUAGCAAGUAUUCCAAGGUUUUAGCAUUUGAGAUAGGAUAAGAGGCCCUCCCACCCUCAGGUGUGGUACAUUCCCCUACUCAAUGCUUAGCAAGUGCAAGCAGGAUAUUUCACGAAAAUAUUUCAAGCAAGUCACCACUCGAAAGAGCUAGUGCGAUAAAGUACACACUGCCCACUUCGAUGGAUCAGAAACCAUUUUCCAAUUAUCACAUAUCAAGUCAAGAAAGCACUUUAAUCAAGUAGGCAUAGAACAAGCAAGGACACUCACCAAUUCAAAAGUAAUUGAGCGAGAAAUCUUUAAUUGUCCCCUCUGGGAUUCUCUUCAAGACUAGCUUGGGCACCUGAAGCAAUUUGACAAGUAUUUUUCACUCAUAAUCACGCAUUACUCAAGAAAGGAGUUACACUCAUGUAGACUUGUCAAUACCUCAAAUUAAGAACCUUAACCACUCAAAAUAAAGGUUCAAAAGUGAGGUUUUAUUAACACAAGGAAAAAAUAAUUUCCUUCAUGAAAUCAAGUUUAAAGCGACCAAUUAUCAUCAAGAAGGAAUAACGGGUUUUCAAAAUUUCAGUUUAUAAGAAAUCGGCAAAAUUUCAGCUUUGCACGUCAAACUUAGAAAAAUCAGAUCUUGUACUCAGUAGGUCCAAAAUUGGAAAACUUGGUACCGUUGGAAACUACUUCCAAAGUACUAAAAGUUCCUAGAAUACACCUUUCUAAGAUUCCACAUGGAAAACAUUCAAAAAUAAGCUCAAAGUCUCUGUUUUUAGUUCAUAAGGCAGAUUUAAGUUGAUUUUUGGUCAACUUUGAAAAUUCGGAAAAAUUCACUUGUUUGGAACUAGCUUUUGAAAUUUAUAACUCUAUUAGUGUUGUAAUCCAAGAGUAUAACAAAACAAACGGAACAAGAAACGGAGUUUUGAAUACUAAGAUAUGGCAACUCAAAGUUACCAAAAUUCCUUUGUGAAACAUGGGUUUUUCAAACUCGAGUCAUGAACUUUGGUAAUUUAUUUGACCCAUGCAACGGUCUCGGAAUAACACCAUAAUUAGCAGUAUAAUACUACCAUAUAAGGGUUGUCUCUCUACCAAAUUUCAUAGAAAAAUAGGCACGGGAAGUCACUUAACAAAAUCACUCAAGUUUCCAAAAUUUUAAGGCAAAGCUGCCUUGUAUAUAAAAAUUUCCUUUUCUAAACUUUUGACCAAGGAAAAUCCUCUAAACAUGGUUCAUUUACAUAGAAAAGGUUUAAGGGUCAUCCCAGAACAACAUUUGUGGUGGUUAACACCAAGAGAUUAAAUUUGCAAGUCUACACUGAGCCUUGCAUCAAAUCUGUCCCAAAAAGGAGGGUUUUCAAGAACAGAGCAGGUUUCAUAUUUUGAUCACAGGUCACUCAAAUUAACUCGGAAUUUGGCAUGGUUUAUGGCAUUGGAAAACAUAAUCAUAGAGCUAUAAUUUCACAGAAGAAAUCAUUUUGAAAUUCGGCACACAACUAGAUCGAAUUCGAGCCACAAGUUGUAGCCUCAGCAUUUUGUUCUUGUAAAACAGAGAAACAGAGUAGUCAUCUUUAAAUGGUUGGUUCGGCUCACACACAUGGUACCAGAACAUACAUUAUAUACCGUUGGAAAGGCUGGGAUAUCUAGUUUCAAAUGCCGCUGACGGAACUCGAUUUUGACAUCGGAGCAUAGAGUUAUGGCCGAAAUACAAAAGCGGGUCAGAGUAUUACGAAAACAGUUUUCCAGAUUUACUGGCUUCACGAAAUUGAUCCCAUUGACCAACCAAACCCCAAUAUUUUUAAAUGAAACUUUAUACACCAUAUAUUCAACAUAUAAACAUGAUAUAUAAGUCAUGAAACCCUCAAAAUUCUGCAAAAAGGGGUGCGGUUGAAACAGGGCAAACCUGAACAUUUUUGAACUACACAUCCCUUGAAGUCGAGACUAGCUAGGUAUCAUUAAUCUACCCAUUUAAGCACUAAACUAGCAUUAUAUCCAUCAUCAAUCAUUAAUCCAAGGGUGGGAGUUCAUAGAGCCCACCAUCAAAAUUUUCCGACAUGAAAUAAAACAAAUAACAUGUAAUUUUGGCAAAUAAUUCCACCACAAUAAAUCUGUCAUCGGCUAAACAGAAUUCCAGCAGUUAAUUGGUCAUAAAUCCAACUUUUUACUCGGCUAAAACAUGAUAUUAAGUACUCAAUUUCGGCAUGCAAUUACUUAGCUAGUCGAUUAACAUUUCUAGUCCAAAAAUCCGAUUCGGUCAGCAACAAGAAUCAUCCAAAAAUCCAGAAAUUUAUUCAGUUUUCCUCGGCUAAGCUUGCAUGUAAGCUGAUCCAUUUCAUUUUUAUUUUUUUUUUCUUGCUUAACCGAGCCAAGGAGCUGUAUGCAAAGCUUAAUCAUCUUGUUCUUAGUUAGAUCAACGCAUUUAUCAGCUCAGACUACUACAAAGAGACAGAAUUGAAGCUGUAUUUCCCAAAACAGUCUCACGGCAAUUCCAAUUUCUUCCUAAUCAGAUUUUCUCAUGCCUUGAUUGCAUCAUCCGAGUGCACAGCUCAACAGGCAUGUCCAUAGAUAGUUCAAUCUAUCACUAAUCAACUUAUUCUAGCUCAGUAAUUACCUCACAAAGAAGAUUAUACGCACGGCAGAAAGCUGAAGUUUCUCCCCUCUUGGUUCACACGCGAUUGAACGUGAUGUUCCUGGUUGCAGUGGUUGCAAUAGUUGCGGCUGGAACUGAUGGAAAUGGUGACAAUUAGCAGCUGGGUGAGGUUUAGAAAAUGCAAAGGAAACUCACGCACGGCCUCUCCCUCUCUUUCCUCAAGCUCACUGACAGAAACAGAAAAGAUUUCAGCUCGCAGCUUCCUUUUCUUUCCUCUCGGAUUGCAGAGUGCGGCUCAGUCUCUCCCUCUCUAUCUCAGUCGAUGUUAACGAGGUGAAGGUGGAGUGUGGUCUGAGGUGAAUUGUUGCAGAGGAGGUGGAAUGGAGUUGCGGUAGCGGUUUGUGAUAUAGAAAUGAGGAGGGAGAAAGGUGGUGCCGCGGUUUUGAGAAGGGGUUGAGUGUAGGAGUGGUAAAAGUUUUUGCAUUGGCCGGUUAGGGUGGUGGAGUUAUAAUGUUGUCCAGAAAUUUUGAUGGGUUUGCAUGGUAAUUUGUGAGGUAGUGGAGGGUAUUUUGGACUUUUCACUUUUCCUUCUAAUGACCACUUAAGCCCUUGAUUCGAGUAUAAUCUCACGAAUUAUCCCCAUGCGUGAUUUAAACUCCUAAUAGUGUACUAAUCUCGCGAGGGUUUCGAUUAUCGAAAUUUAUCGAUUACAAUUUAAUAUUAAGGUUCCUAGUAAUUCCUAACAUUAUUACCUAAUUAUUUAAACUAUAAAAAUCAAGUUUGACCUUAAUAUAUAAAUUUAACAUUCUUAAUAUUCGUUUAUCCUUUUAUAUCAAAACUUAUUAACUUAAUCAUUAUUAAUGCUUAAGAUUAGCUAUCGGAAUUCAAAGAAAUUUAAUUGUUAAAUCAAUGAAAUAAUUUACCUUCGAAAUAUGAAUUUAAUGUAACAAAACUAGGAAAUUUAAUAGUUUAGCACAAUUCUUUUAUUUUGCACAUAAAAUUUAUUUCUACGCACUUAUUUAAAACAAUUAGAUUUAAUGCUAAAAUUUAUUAAAGAAUUAAAAAUGCAAAUGAAAUAUGCACUGAUAUUUAUAUAUAUAUAUAUUUUUUUUUUCAGGAUUCUCACAUCCUCCCCUCCUUAAAAUGAAUUUUGUCCUCAAAAUUCUCACCUUCUUGCAUUUUCGGGCAACCGGCAAUUUGGUGCUCGCUACUUCCGCACCUCAAACACUUUCCUUGUUUCCUCCAGCAUCCGUCCUCAGUAUGGCCAAUUUUCCUACAAUACCCACAAGUUGCCUGGGGAGUGGUCACACGACCUCCUUGCGAGGCGUUCCUAGGUUGACCUCUUCCAUUUGGUCCUCCGUUAGCUCCAUUAUCUCUUUCUCCGGCACCUCUGGCACCAGCUCCUCUCGCUAGAGCGCCUCGUGGUGCUCCAUGACUAUUUACUCCACCCGUUCCUCGACCCACUUUGGCCGGUGGAGCAUUUGCAUAAGUCGGCUCUCGACUACUGCUAGGUGCAAAUCUUUUUUUGGCCUGGAAAGUUUUUACUUGAGCUCUGGCAACUUCAACCCUUUGAGCUCUCUCUACAGCAUCAGCAAAUGUGUCUAUUCGAACAUCAGCUAAUCCCUCCUGAAUUUCCACGUUCAGUCCCUGCACAAACCUCCUUACACGCCUUUGCUCCGUAGCUACCAAUUCCGGAGCAUAACGGGAUAAUUUCGUGAAUUGAAUCUCAUAUUCUGCGACACUCAUCGCCCCCUGCCUACACUUAAUGAAAUCAUCCUCUCUUUUUUCUUGGAUGAGAGGAGGAAGAAAUUUGGCGUUGAAUUCCCUUGUGAAGUCCGCCCAGGUCCUAGGAAUAUGAUUCCUGUCCCAAUUGACCCUAAUUAGGUUCCACCAGGAACGAACAACUCCCUCAAACUGGAAUGCUGCGAAAGUCACUUGCCUCUCUUCCGAAUAAUUUAGGGCGGCAAAAAUAUCAGAGAUCCUCUCCCACCAACCUUCCGCUACCUCAGGUUCUGGUCCUCCAUAAAACUUAGGAGGUCCAAACUUCAAGAAUCUCUCUAAUGCCCGAUCCUCGGUAUCGAUUGGGCCUCCUUGGUGAUGCACCUGUCCAGGGGCUUGGUGCUCAGUCAUGCGCUCUAACACAUCAGUUAUCCUAUUGAUUGCGGUGGCCACUGGAUCUCCGGCCACGUUUCCCUGACCAUGGUCUGGGUUGACCUCAGGUUCCCUAUCACCACUACCCUCGGGGUGUUGCCUAGUUGGUCUCCCCCGUCCUCUACCUCUAACUUGGAGAUCCAUAGUCUAGUUAUGCCUAUUGAUAAGAAUAAAGUAAUCAAGCGAAGAUGUUGCUAUUUAUUUACUUGUUAUUAUUAAGUGAAGUCAACAUGAAUACCAAGAGAAAGAAAAUUAAACACUUAAAGCAUAUAUUCACAUACCAAAGUUCAUACAACUUUAAAAGCCAAACAAUUCACGGUACAUUCAAUAUUUUCAUACAUAACUCAACUUAAAUCUUUAUAAACACGAAAGAAAACAAUACAAUAAUACACAAAUUAUUAUAGCCACAUAGCUAGUAGCUCAACCCUUAGUUUAGAUUCGACUUAACCUUCGUUAGUUUAGUCCUGGACAAUACCACUAGCCCCCACUUGUUCUUUUCAAUUCCUCUAUCAUAUUAGUUUCUAACUCUAGAAUUCCUAUCACGUCGCAUCCUUAUGGAUUUCCUCAUUUCUUACAUUCUAAUAUAAACUCUCUCAUUUGCUAUUACUAGCCUCUGCUUUUUACCCAUUUAAACUCGUAUCACUCGCUUCAGAUAGAAGUAAGUUCUUGAACAGUCACAGGGACUAGUCAUUCGAUGCCCUAGAACACACUGCCGAAAGGACGCUUCUGGUCCUUACUUAAACUACUAUUUCACCCAAAGUUCAGAUUUAAACCCACAUUUUGGGUAAAAGAUGGCAUAUAAUCCAUUGUAAAAUUAUUCAUUUUAACAAGUAGAAUUUGCACUAAUCUUUAAGAUCUCACUACUGGCCCUUCACUUUUAACUUUCAAAAGCUAGCCUUGGUCUCUUUAAUUCUAUUUCUUCAAAUCAACUCAUGAUUUCUGAUAACGUCAUAAGGCAAUAUGCUAAAUUCCUCCCAAAUUGCAAAUGCACCAUUGAAUGAGGUAUUUAAUACUCGAGUACAAGAAUCUGGCAAUAGGAUAAUUCGCAGCUCAGGCUGGCCAGUCCCAAGAGUAAAUCACCUAUAUGUGAGAUUCCUACCCAACAUACGCAUCUAAUAUCCCCAACUGUAGACUUUUGUUUCACACUUAACAAGCCAAUCCCAACAGUCCGAGAAUCCUCUCCCGGCACGAGCUCGAUAAGAGCUCUGAUACCACCUGUGGCGGCCCCACUUCCCCCUAAGGUGAACCAGAGAGUUGGCGGGUCGCCUGCCCAGCUCUCGCCGGGACUCACGCAAGCAAACCGACCACUAAUCCACGUAUAACUUAAAAUCAAAACACAAUUUGUCAUCCGGACGUGCCAAACCUUUAAACGACUGGAAUAUUAAAUCACAUUAACUUCAGAGAUAACAUUACCAAUGAACAUCCAACCGUUCACUCUUAAAUACAUCUCCGACUAGUUCAACACAACCUACAAAUAUACAUUAUAAACCAUACAGCAAACUCAUCAAGCUCAAAUAAAUUCAUACAAGCCAAAACUUAGGGUUUGCACUUUUCCAGCUUCAAGUGACAACCCAAAACAAAGAUACAAGUACGAUUCGAAAUAAUAUUUACAUAACGAUAAGAUAGACUUCAAGUUUCUCGAUUCCCAGAACCUGUUAAGGAAAACAAAUAUCGUGUGGUGAGCUAACGCUCAGUGGUGCCCAAAACAUGCAAUCAUAUAAGGCAAGUAACGAGUAUUAAAAUUCAACAAUUAGGAAAGCGUAUAACAGCACACGGUAGGAUACAGGGCUCUCAGGAGCCAUUCUCCGCGCUUGAUCAGAAAUUACCGUAGUUGACCCUCCGUCAACUCUCACUACUAACGGUCCAUGUAGAACUCCUUAUUUUACUUAACUCCGGCCACCGAUCAUACCCCAGCUCCGGGCCCGCACGACAAAAUAAAAGAGAGCGGUAGUACUCGAGUAUACCCCCUGGAUAAACUAGUCGAGGGAUUCACCCAACGACGUCACAAAAUAAGAAAUUACCAGGUCAGGAUAAGAGGCCCUCCCACCCUUAAGGUG